rnacentral:rRNA from 1 species
GACGAACGCUGGCGGCGUGCCUAAUACAUGCAAGUCGAGCGAUGAUUAAAGAUAGCUUGCUAUUUUUAUGAAGAGCGGCGAACGGGUGAGUAACGCGUGGGAAAUCUGCCGAGUAGCGGGGGACAACGUUUGGAAACGAACGCUAAUACCGCAUAACAAUGAGAAUCGCAUGAUUCUUAUUUAAAAGAAGCAAUUGCUUCACUACUUGAUGAUCCCGCGUUGUAUUAGCUAGUUGGUAGUGUAAAGGACUACCAAGGCGAUGAUACAUAGCCGACCUGGGAGGGUGAUCGGCCACACUGGGACUGAGACACGGCCCAGACUCCUACGGGAGGCAGCAGUAGGGAAUCUUCGGCAAUGGGGGCAACCCUGACCGAGCAACGCCGCGUGAGUGAAGAAGGUUUUCGGAUCGUAAAACUCUGUUGUUAGAGAAGAACGUUAAGUAGAGUGGAAAAUUACUUAAGUGACGGUACCUAACCAGAAAGGGACGGCUAACUACGUGCCAGCAGCCGCCGUAA